rnacentral:tRNA from 1 species
GGGAAUGUAGCUCAGUGGUAGAGCACUUGACAUAUGUGCGUAAGGCCCUGGGUUCAAUCCCCAGCACUGCAA